rnacentral:rRNA from 1 species
AAAGGAAUAGACGGGGACCCGCACAAGCAGCGGAGCAUGUGGUUUAAUUCGAAGCAACGCGAAGAACCUUACCAGGGCUUGACAUCCCACUGACAGGCGUGUAACGGCGCCCUUCUUCGGACAGUGGUGACAGGUGGUGCAUGGUUGUCGUCAGCUCGUGUCGUGAGAUGUUGGGUUAAGUCCCGCAACGAGCGCAACCCUUGUCAUUAGUUGCCAUCAGGUAAUGCUGGGAACUCUAAUGAGACUGCCGGGGACAACUCGGAGGAAGGUGGGGACGACGUCAAAUCAUCAUGCCCCUUAUGUUCUGGGCUACACACGUGCUACAAUGGUCGGUACAAUGGGAUGCAAUACGGCGACGUGGAGCAAAUCACCAAAACCGGUCCCAGUUCGGAUUGCAGGCUGAAACCCGCCUGCAUGAAGUCGGAGUUGCUAGUAAUCGUAAAUCAGAAUGUUACGGUGAAUACGUUCCCGGGUCUUGUACACACCGCCCGU